rnacentral:rRNA from 1 species
UCCUACGGGGCGCAGCAGUGGGGAAUAUUGCACAAUGGGGGAAACCCUGAUGCAGCGACGCCGCGUGAGCGAUGAAGUAUUUCGGUAUGUAAAGCUCUAUCAGCAGGGAAGAAAAUGACGGUACCUGACUAAGAAGCCCCGGCUAACUACGUGCCAGCAGCCGCGGUAAUACGUAGGAUCCGAGCGUUAUCCGGAUUUAUUGGGUUUAAAGGGAGCGUAGACGGCAGGGCAAGUCUGGAGUGAAAGGCAGGGGCCCAACCCCUGGACUGCUCUGGAAACUGUCCGGCUGGAGUGCAGGAGAGGUA